GAUGGUUUGGAUAUGUGCUAAGAAUGAAUGGUGGGUAUACUUAGGGAUGUUGAGUAUGGAGCUGCCAGACAGGAGGAAAAGAGGAGACCGCAGAGAAGAUUUAACAGAUGUAUGAAGGAGGACAUGCAGAGGUUUGAUGUGACAGAACAGGACACUACAGAGAGCGUAAGAUGGAGAAGAAAGAAGAUACUAGCUUUAACCUGUCAAAGAGAAACUCAGAAGCAGAUCCAAAGAGAAGCAACAUCUUCUGACUGUACCUUCUCAUGUUAGAAGGGUCUCCUCUCCGGGAGGAGAAUAAAUUACAAGCAGUGGUGCUGACUUGAAGUACUCUGGAGUGAAUCAGACGGCAGUUCGGCUCAUUCUGCACACCUACCACUAAUCAGCUCAUUACCCUCCCAGCCAGCUCACCUGCCUUCCAUCAUCUCACAAAAUUGUCUCAGCUCCCCACUCUAUAGACUCAUUCCCCAGGCAACCCAGCCUUAAU
ensembl:lncRNA